UCAGUCGACUCCUACGGGGAGGCAGCAGUGGGGAAUAUUGCACAAUGGGGGAAACCCUGAUGCAGCCAUGCCGCGUGUGUGAAGAAGGACCUUCGGGUUGUAAAGCACUUUCAGUAGGGAGGAAGGUAGUGUAGUUAACACCUGCAUUAUUUGACGUUACCUACAGAAGAAGCACCGGCUAACUCCGUGCCAGCAGCCGCGGUAAUACGGAGGGUGCGAGCGUUAAUCGGAAUUACUGGGCGUAAAGCGCAUGCAGGCGGCCUGUUAAGUCAGAUGUGAAAGCCCGGGGCUUAACCUCGGAAUUGCAUUUGAAACUGGCAGGCUAGAGUCUUGUAGAGGGGGGUAGGAAUUUCAGGUGUAGCGGUGAAAUGCGUAGAGAUCUGAAGGAAUACCAGUGGCGAAGGCGGCCCCCUGGACAAAGACUGACGCUCAGAUGCGAAAGCGUGGGGAGCAAACAGGAUUAGAUACCCUGGUAG
rnacentral:rRNA from 1 species